UUACACAUGCAAGUCGAACGGCAGCACAGGAGAGCUUGCUCUCUGGGUGGCGAGUGGCGGACGGGUGAGGAAUACAUCGGAAUCUACUCUGUCGUGGGGGAUAACGUAGGGAAACUUACGCUAAUACCGCAUACGACCUACGGGUGAAAGCAGGGGAUCUUCGGACCUUGCGCUAAAUGAUGAGCCUAAGUCGGAUUAGCUAGUUGGUGGGGUAAAGGCCUACCAAGGCGACGAUCUGUAGCGGGUCUGAGAGGAUGAUCCGCCACACUGGGACUGAGACACGGCCCAGACUCCUACGGGAGGCAGCAGUGGGGAAUCUUAGACAAUGGGCGCAAGCCUGAUCUAGCCAUGCCGCGUGUGUGAUGAAGGUCUUAGGAUCGUAAAGCACUUUCGCCAGGGAUGAUAAUGACAGUACCUGGUAAAGAAACCCCGGCUAACUCCGUGCCAGCAGCCGCGGUAAUACGGAGGGGGUUAGCGUUGUUCGGAAUUACUGG
rnacentral:rRNA from 1 species